CUCAAAAGUAGAAUGACCAACACAAAGGGUGAGUCUUUGCAGCAAGGGUGAGUCUUUGCAGCAAUUUGUGAGAAGCAACAGGCCAGAACCUCAAGAAAGAAGAGUAAAAGAAAUAGGAUCAAUUACGCAAGAAAUCCAAAGCAGAGCUGAGAAGAAAAAUGGAAAGCAAAAGAAGGUACCAGACGAAAUGAAACGCAAGAGAAAUAUGCAGGAGAGGAAACAGCACAAAAAGCAAAGAUAAACAUUACAAUUAGAAUGAAAAAAUUACUUAACAG
rnacentral:lncRNA from 1 species